AUCGCCAUGGAGAUGUGAUGAUGCACCUGUACUUCCUUCCCAACUGUCACUGUGUGAGCUGAGCUGUUGCAGUUUGGUCACUGGUGAAAAGUUCCCCAUGAUAGGAAAUGUGAAUUGCCAUUCUUUAGGAAAUUGCUGUAGCAAUGAAGCAGAAGAUGUGCCUCUCAAGACGACAAUAUCCAUAAAGAAAAGAGACUGCUUCUGCUCACACAUCAGGGUGCACCCUCUUCCUGUACCAGAGGAAGCUCAUCCCAAGGGCCUGAUGCAAGAGUUUCCCAGAACAAAUGCAGAGGAAGUACCCAUAACACUUCCUGAGGU